CUGGCGGCGUGUUAUGUACAUGCAAGUCGAGCGCAGGAAAACCGUAUGAACCCUUUGGGGGGACGACGAGGGGAUGAGCGGCGGGAGGGGGAGUAACACGUGAAGAACCUGUCCAUAGGGCUGGGAUAACCACGAGAAAUCGGGGCUAAAACCGGAUGUGUCAUCGGACCGCAUGGGCCGCUGGGAAAAGGGGCUUCGGCGCCCCCCCAGGGGGGGUUUUGGGGGGAUUAAAUAAGUGGGGGGGGGAAGGGCCCCCAGGGGGAGGUUUCUUAGGGGGGGGGGGGGGGGAAUGGGCCCCACUGGGGCUUAAACCAAAAAAAAAUUAAAAGGGGGGGUCUUUCCGGGGAAUUUUUUAAAAUGGGCGAAAAUUUGGGGGGGCACCCCCGCGGGAAUUUUGGAGGUUUUUGGGUCUUAAAGUUUUGUAAAAAAGAAAAAAAAGGUGCCCGGGGGAAUGGGGGCCUUUUGACGGAAACUUGCGAAAAAACCCCGGCAAACAAGGGGCCAAAAAACGGGGGAAAACGGGGGGGGAAAACGUUUUUCGGAAAAAUGGGGGGGAACGCGCGCCCCGGGGGUCUUUUAAUUUUGAUAUAGAAAACUUCGGGUCAACGGGGGGGGGCCUUUUAAAACUGGGGGGUUUAAGUAAAAAAAAAAAAAGUGGUUUCCCACGCGGGGGGGGGAAAAAGGGAAAAAUGGGGAAAAACACCGGUGGCGAAAACAUUUUUUUGGCCUAUAAUUAAAGGGGGGGGGGGAAAGCGUGGGGGGAAAAAAAGGUUAGAUACCCCCGGAACCCACGCCCCAAAGGGGGGGUACUAGGUGUUUGAGGUUUUUCCCCCUUUAGUGUAAACACCAAAGCAUUAAACCCCCCGGGGGGGGGGUCCGGUCGCAAGGAAAAAACUCAAAGGAAUUGACGGCGGCCCCCAAAAGCGGGGGGGCAUGUGGGUUUAUUUAAAACAACGUCAAAAACCUCACCAACCCUUUAGACCCCCUUGACCGCGAGAAGGAUGUAGUCUUUCCUUUGGGGAGGAGACAGGGGUGUGUUUUUUCUCUUUCAAAAGUUUAUUCCGUGAGACAGCCAUUUUCGUCCUAUGGCCUGAGGGGCCCCGGACCUUGGCCGGAAAAACGGAGGUGGGGGUACUCACAUCUCUCUUGAGAGGAAAUCGUAUAAGAGAAAAAGCGCCCCCUUGUGCUC
rnacentral:rRNA from 1 species